rnacentral:rRNA from 1 species
UACGAAGGGGGCUAGCGUUGUUCGGAAUUACUGGGCGUAAAGCGCACGUAGGCGGAUAUUUAAGUCAGGGGUGAAAUCCCAGAGCUCAACUCUGGAACUGCCUUUGAUACUGGGUAUCUUGAGUAUGGAAGAGGUAAGUGGAAUUGCGAGUGUAGAGGUGAAAUUCGUAGAUAUUCGCAGGAACACCAGUGGCGAAGGCGG